rnacentral:rRNA from 1 species
UGUUCCUACGGGGCGCAGCAGUAGGGAAUAUUGCACAAUGGGGGAAACCCUGAUGCAGCAACGCCGCGUGAGUGAAGAAGUAUUUCGGUAUGUAAAGCUCUAUCAGCAGGGAGGAAAAUGACAGUACCUGACUAAGAAGCCCCGGCUAACUACGUGCCAGCAGCCGCGGUGAUACGUAGGGGGCAAGCGUUAUCCGGAUUUACUGGGUGUAAAGGGAGCGUAGACGGCUGCGCAAGUCAGAAGUGAAAGCCCGGGGCUCAACCGCGGG